AUUUAUAUUCUAAUCAUUGAAUAAAAGCCGAUAUUAAUUAAAUAAUUCAGUGUAUAUUGCGAGGUCGCAAUAUUUAAGAAGGGGGAGGGAAGAAUUGAAUUUAUAUGGACUGUUGUAGAGAUCAACUUUAUACUUGAAGUUAACUGAUAUUGGAUGAGUUGUAAAAAUUUUCUGAUUGAUUCAGAAUACUGAUGAGUUAUAUUUUGAGAAUUGUUUUCUUCAAAUAGAAUUAUUUGAUGUGGAUUAUUCUUUCAGUUUGUAUGUAUGAUAAUGACGGGACGUCAUUUUCUAAGGUGGGGAAGUGUGUAACAGGAUGGAUAAUUUGAGUGUCUUGAUACAUUUUUGGUUGUUUGAGUUGUUUCCCUUGGUUUCCCGCAAUUUUGAUCAUGUGACUAGUUUUGUCUUUGUUGAAGCGGCUUUGUAAAAUUUAAGUUCAGACAUUUUCUUAGUGUUUUAAAUUUAUUUAAAAUUUGGAUUAUUGAUAGUUGAAAUUACAGCACAGAGAGUUUGGUUGUAUGUGUGUUUUGGAGAAGAUGAUGUAAUAUGAUAUAAUUGUACAUUCAGUUCCACAAACUGAGUGUUGAUCAAUUCGAUUGAUUGAGAUUUAUUGAAGGUUUAUUGACGAUUCAUUGACGAUUGAUUUUGUCGAUAUUUGGAUAUGUAAGAUUGAUAUACAUGUAUGUGUCAGAACUAGAAGAUAAAUAAAUACAUUAGAACUGUG